UACGUAGGGGGCUAGCGUUGUCCGGAAUCAUUGGGCGUAAAGCGCGUGUAGGCGGCCCGGUAAGUCCGCUGUGAAAGUCGGGGGCUCAACCCUCGGAUGCCGGUGGAUACUGUCGGGCUCGAGUACGGAAGAGGCGAGUGGAAUUCCUGGUGUAGCGGUGAAAUGCGUAGAUAUUGGGAGGAACACCAGUGGCGAAGGCGGCUCACUGGACCGGAACUGACGCUGAGGCGCGAAAGCGUGGGGAGCAAACGGG
rnacentral:rRNA from 1 species